UACGUAGGGGGCAAGCGUUGUCCGGAUUUAUUGGGCGUAAAGAGCGUGUAGGCGCCAGACAGGUCCGUUGUGAAAACUGGAGGCUCAACCUCCAAGCGUCGAUGGAAACCGUCUGGCUAGAGUCCGGAAGAGGAGAGUGGAAUUCCUGGUGUAGCGGUGAAAUGCGCAGAUAUCAGGAAGAACACCCGUGGCGAAAGCGGCUCUCUGGGACGGUACUGACGCUGAGACGCGAAAGCGUGGGGAGCGAACAGG
rnacentral:rRNA from 1 species